rnacentral:rRNA from 1 species
CAAUAGCGUAUAUUAAAGUUGUUGCGGUAAAAAAGCUCGUAGUUGGAUUUCUGUUGAGAGCGACCGGUCCAUACCAUGUAUGCGUAUCUGGCUUGCUCUCGGCAUCCUCUCGAUAGACGUUACUGCGCUUGAUUGCGUGGUGCGGAUCUCGGGACUUUUACUUUGAGGAAAUUAGAGUGUUCACGGCAGGCUUUCGCCAGAAUACAUUAGCAUGGAAUAAUACUAUGGGAUCUUGGUUCUAUUUUGUUGGUUUCUAGAAUUGAGAUAAUGAUUAAUAGGGACAAUUGGGGGCAUUCGUAUCAACACGUCAGAGGUGGAAUUCUUGGAUUGUGUUGCGACGAACUACUGCGAAAGCAUUUGCCAAGGAUGUUUUCAUUGA